CUACGGGCCGCUGCAGUGGGGAAUAUUGGGCAAUGGGCGAAAGCCUGACCCAGCAACGCCGCGUGAAGGAAGAAGGUUUUCGGAUCGUAAACUUCUAUCCCAGGUGGAGAUAAUGACGGUAGCCUGGAAGGAAGCCCUGGCUAACUACGUGCCAGCAGCCGCGGUAAUACGUAGGGGGCAAGCGUUGUCCGGAAUGAUUGGGCGUAAAGGGCGCGUAGGCGGCCUUCUAAGUCCGAUGUGAAAGUCCUGCUUUUAAGGUGGGAAUUGCAUUGGAAACUGGAGGGCUUGAGUGCAGGAGAGGUAAGUGGAAUUCCCGGUGUAGCGGUGAAAUGCGUAGAGAUCGGGAGGAACACCAGUGGCGAAGGCGACUUACUGGACUGUAACUGACGCUGAGGCGCGAAAGUGUGGGGAGCAAACAGGAUUAGAUACCCUCGUAGUC
rnacentral:rRNA from 1 species